rnacentral:rRNA from 1 species
GACGAACGCUGGCGGCGUGCUUAACACAUGCAAGUCGAACGGAAAGGCCCUGCUUUUGUGGGGUGCUCGAGUGGCGAACGGGUGAGUAACACGUGAGUAACCUGCCCUUGACUUUGGGAUAACUUCAGGAAACUGGGGCUACUACCGGAUAGGAGCUCCUGUUCCAUGGAGGGGGUUGGAAAGUUUCCGCGUUUGGGGAUGGACUCGCGGCUUAUCAGCCUGUCGGUGGGGUUGCGGCUUACCACGGCUUUGACGAGUAGCCGGCAUGAGAAGGUGACUAGCCGAAUUGGGAGUAAGAUAAGGACCAGACUCCUACAGGACACAGCGGUGGGAAAUGUUACACAAUGGACGGAAGCCUGAUGCAGCAGCGCCACGUACGGGAUGACGGCCUUCAGGGUAUAAACCGCUUUCGCCUGUAACGAGGGGUGAGUGAAGGUAAUGAGUAAAGAAGCACCGGCUAACUACAGG